GUUGUGGUUAAAAGCUCGUAGUUGAACCUUGGGCCUGGCUGGCCGGUCCGCCUCACCGCGUGCACUGGUCCGGCCGGGCCUUUCCCUCUGUGGAACCCCAUACCCUUCACUGGGCGUGGCGGGGAAACAGGACAUUUACUUUGAAAAAAUUAGAGUGCUCCAGGCAGGCCUAUGCUCGAAUACAUUAGCAUGGAAUAAUAAAAUAGGACGCGCGGUUCUAUUUUGUUGGUUUAUAGGACCGCCGUAAUGAUUAAUAGGGACAGUCGGGGGCAUCAGUAUUCAACUGUCAGAGGUGAAAUUCUUGGAUCAGUUGAAGACUAACUACUGCGAAAGCAUUUGCCAAGGAUGUUUUCAUUAAUCAGGAACGAAAGUUAGGGGAUCGAAGACGAUCAGAUACCGUCGUAGUCUUAACCAUAAACUAUGCCGACUAGGGAUCGGACGGUGUUAUUCAUGACCCGUUCGGCACCUUACGAGAAAUCAAAGUGCUUGGGCUCCAGGGGGAGUAUGGUCGCAAGGCUGAAACUUAAAGAAAUUGACGGAAGGGCACCACCAGGGGUGGAGCCUGCGGCUUAAUUUGACUCAACACGGGGAAACUCACCAGGUCCAGACACAAUAAGGAUUGACAGAUUGAGAGCUCUUUCUUGAUUUUGUGGGUGGUGGUGCAUGGCCGUUCUUAGUUGGUGGGGUGACUUGUCUGCUUAAUUGCGAUAACGAACGAGACCUUAACCUGCUAAAUAGCCCGCAUUGCUCCGGCAGUGCGCUGGCUUCUUAGAGGGACUUUCGGCUCAAGCCGAUGAGUUUGAGCAUAACAGUCUGUGAUGCCCUUAGAUGUCUGGGCGCACGCGCGCUACACUGAC
rnacentral:rRNA from 1 species